CGAAAGAUUGAUCUAGUUACUUAUUAGGAUGAUAUUUAAUAAUAAUAAUUAUUAAUAAUUAUAUUAUUUUAACAUACCCACCCGCACCAUAUGUUAUCAAUGAUAACGGUGACGGGUGGGGAAUAAUAAUAAUAUUUUCUUAUUAAUUGAAAAUAAUAAUAUAAAUAAAUUGAUUAAAAAUAAAAUCCAUAUAUAAUUUAAAUAAUGAUAUAAAUUAUCUUAUAAAAUAAGAAGUAUAAUAAUACUCCGCCCGCGAUGUAAUGCAUCGCUGGUGGGGCCUGAUUAUUAUAUUUAUAAUAGUCUUAACUAAUAAUUGUGCCAGCAGUUGCGGUCAUACAAUGAAGGCUAGCGUUAAUCAUAAUGGUUUAAAGGAUCCGUAGAAUGAAAUAUAUAGUAUAUUUAUAAAGUUCCAUUACCCCCUUCCCUUCCUUCUUCCUUUUAUCUUAACGGAAGAGAGGUCUUCCUUAACGAAAGAAAGGAUUGGAAGGGAGGGGGAUGAGGGUCUUUUUUAGAGUUAAUUAAUAUUAAUUAAAGAAUUAUUAAAGUAAAGAUGAAAUAAUAAUGAUAAUAAUAAGACUGGUAUAUGUGAAAAUAUUAAUUAAGAAUUAACUGACAUUGAGGGAUGAAGACUAAAGUAGCAAAACAGAUUCGAUACCUGUGUAGUUUUAGUAGUAAACGAUGAAUACCAUAUUUAUAAAUAAUUAUAAAUAUAUAUGAAAAUGUAAGUAUUCCACCUGAAGAGUAUAUUAGCAAUAAUGAAACUCAAGACAAUAGACGGUUACAGACUUAAGUAGUGG
rnacentral:rRNA from 1 species